AUACAUGAGCAAAAUCUCAACUUUAUUAGAAGAGACGCAUUUAUUAGAUAAAAAGCCAAUGCAUGCUUUUACAGUAUGGAAAUUGGUGAUUUAUAAUAACUUGGCAAAUCGCAAAGUGAAAACAGGCGAUAAGUCAUUCAAGUUUCUGACCUAUCAGCUUUCGACGGUAUGGUAUUGGCUUACCGUGGCAGUGACGGUUAACGGGGGAUUAGGGUUCGAUUCCGGAGAGGGAGCCUGAGAAACGGCUACCACAUCUAAGGAAGGCAGCAGGCGCGCAAAUUACCCAAUUCUAACAGUUUGAGAGAGGUAGUAACAAGAAAUAACAAUACAAGGCAAUUAAAAUGCUUUGUAAUUGGAAUGAUAGAAAUUUAAACCCCUUUUAAAGUAUCAAUUGGAGGGCAAGUCUGGUGCCAGCAGCCGCGGUAAUUCCAGCUCCAAUAGCGUAUAUUAAAAUUGUUGCAGUUAAAAAGCUCGUAGUUGAAGUUCUGCUAAAAGUAACCGGUCUGCUUUUAAUAAAAGCGGUAUCUUGGUGUGUAUUUAGCAAUGAUGUCCUUUGAAGUGUUUUUUACUUUAUUGUAAUAAAGCAUAUUCAGGACUUUUACUUUGAGAAAAUUAGAGUGUUUCUAGCAGGCCGACGCUUUGAAUACUGCAGCAUGGAAUAAUAAG
rnacentral:rRNA from 1 species